rnacentral:lncRNA from 1 species
GGAAACAUUAGUUCAGUCCAUUUCCAGUUCCUCUAGUGAGUGAGUUUACUCAUCCACUGGAAACAUAAAUAAUAGAAUUAUGACUCUGAUGUCAAGACCCAUAUUUUCGGCAGAAAUGGUCUUUGCUCUGUGGGCUGUGUUUGUUCUGGUGAAUUUCACCUCGGCGUAUGAAAUCCAGGAUACAGUCCACUCUCUUUUGGAGGAGAACGCGUACCUCCAUCACCGACUGGAGAACCUCACAGGAGUGCUGCAUGGCUUGAAAAGGCUGCUCCUGGAUCAUAAACAGGGUAUGACCGCAGAAACAAAUCACCUGCUGCAGCAGGCGUUUUGCUGGUCGGACAGCGGAGCAGCUGCUCAGCACAUUCCUGCCUGUCUCCUGGUUCUUCUGUCACCUUCCAUCUCUCUGUUCCUGCAACUGCUCUUUGAGUAUCUGCUCUGACUUUAACUGCAUGUUGGCCCGAUAAAAGUUUUUGACGUGUCUAAUUAUUCUUUACUAGACCCAUCAGCCUGACUGAAUUCGCUUUGUUUUACGUAGUUGUCAAAUCUUAUUAUUGUAGUGUGACCCAGUCUUGCAAAAGAACUUGAUAGGCGUCAGACUUGAUAAUAUGAAGCUUGCAUUUUUACCCAUGGCAUUGUGCUCAUUUAAUGCAGGAAUAUUGCGACCGUCAAUAUAGAACUCGUACUUCCAAAACUACUUUGCACAUUUGCUCAAGAGGC